GCCAAGGCUAAAUACUCCCUGGCGACCGAUAGUGAAGCAGUACCGUGAGGGAAAGGUGAAAAGCACCCCGGAAGGGGAGUGAAAUAGAUCCUGAAACCGUGUGCUUACAAGAAGUCAGAGCCCGAUCGAUGGGUGAUGGCGUGCCUUUUGUAGAAUGAACCGGCGAGUUACGUUCCCGUGCAAGGUUAAGGUGAAGAGCUGAAGCCGCAGCGAAAGCGAGUCUGAAUAGGGCGA
rnacentral:rRNA from 1 species